rnacentral:rRNA from 1 species
CCUACGGGGGGCAGCAGUGGGGAAUUUUGGACAAUGGGGGCAACCCUGAUCCAGCCAUUCCGCGUGAGUGAAGAAGGCCUUCGGGUUGUAAAGCUCUUUUGUCCGGAGCGAAACGGGCGGCCCUAAUACGGUCGUCUACUGACGGUACCGGAAGAAUAAGCACCGGCUAACUACGUGCCAGCAGCCGCGGUAAUACGUAGGGUGCGAGCGUUAAUCGGACGUGCUGGGCGGAAUUUGUGCGCCAGCGGUUAAGUCCCCGGGCUCAACCUGGGAAUGGCAUUUGGGACUGCAAGGCUGGAGUGUGGCAGAGGUGACUAGAAUUCCUGGUGUAGCAGUGAAAUGCGUAGAUAUCAGGAGGAAUACCGAUGGCGAAGGCAGGUCCCUGGGUUAACACUGACGCUCAUGCACGAAAGCGUGGGGAGCAAACAGGAUUAGAUACCCGAGUAGUC